rnacentral:tRNA from 1 species
CGGAGUAUAGCGCAGCCUGGUAGCGCACCUGCUUCGGGAGCAGGGGGUCGCAAGUUCGAAUCUUGCUACUCCGA